CGGGGGGGCAAGCGUUGUUCGGAAUUACUGGGCGUAAAGGGCGCGUAGGCGGUUCGUUAAGUCGGAUGUGAAAACUCUGGGCUCAACCCAGAGCCUGCAUCCGAAACUGGCGGGCUAGAGUUCUGGAGGGGGUAGCGGAAUUCCUGGUGUAGCGGUGAAAUGCGUAGAUAUCAGGAGGAACACCGGUGGCGAAGGCGGCUACCUGGACAGAAACUGACGCUGAGGCGCGAAAGCUAGGGGAGCAAACAGGAUUAGAUACCCUGGUAGUCCUAGCCCUAAACGAUGGAUACUUGGUGUGACUGGGAUUGAAUCCAGUCGUGCCGAAGCUAACGCAUUAAGUAUCCCGCCUGGGGAGUACGGUCGCAAGGCUG
rnacentral:rRNA from 1 species